UUAAGCGACUAAGCGUACACGGUGGAUGCCCUGGCAGUCAGAGGCGAUGAAGGACGUGCUAAUCUGCGAAAAGCGUCGGUAAGGUGAUAUGAACCGUUACAGCCGGCGAUGUCCGAAUGGGGAAACCCAGUGCAAUUCGUUGCACUAUCGUUAACUGAAUACAUAGGUUAACGAGGCGAACCGGGGGAACUGAAACAUCUAAGUACCCCGAGGAAAAGAAAUCAACCGAGAUUCCCCCAGUAGCGGCGAGCGAACGGGGAGCAGCCCAGAGUCUGAAUCAGCUUGUGUGUUAGUGGAACGGUCUGGAAAGUCCGACGGUACAGGGUGAUAGUCCCGUACACCAAAAUGCACAGGUUGUGAACUCGAAGAGUAGGGCGGGACACGUGGUAUCCUGUCUGAAUAUGGGGGGACCAUCCUCCAAGGCUAAAUACUCCUGACUGACCGAUAGUGAACCAGUACCGUGAGGGAAAGGCGAAAAGAACCCCGGCGAGGGGAGUGAAAAAGAACCUGAAACCGUGUACGUACAAGCAGUGGGAGCACCUUCGGGUGUGACUGCGUACCUUUUGUAUAAUGGGUCAGCGACUUAUAUUCUGUAGCAAGGUUAACCGUAUAGGGGAGCCGCAGGGAAACCGAGUCUUAACUGGGCGUUAAGUUGCAGGGUAUAGACCCGAAACCCGGUGAUCUAGCCAUGGGCAGGUUGAAGGUUGGGUAACACUAACUGGAGGACCGAACCGACUAAUGUUGAAAAAUUAGCGGAUGACUUGUGGCUGGGGGUGAAAGGCCAAUCAAACCGGGAGAUAGCUGGUUCUCCCCGAAAGCUAUUUAGGUAGCGCCUCGUGAAUUCAUCUUCGGGGGUAGAGCACUGUUUCGGCUAGGGGGUCAUCCCGACUUACCAACCCGAUGCAAACUACGAAUACCGAAGAAUGUUAUCACGGGAGACACACGGCGGGUGCUAACGUCCGUCGUGAAGAGGGAAACAACCCAGACCGCCAGCUAAGGUCCCAAAGUCAUGGUUAAGUGGGAAACGAUGUGGGAAGGCACAGACAGCCAGGAUGUUGGCUUAGAAGCAGCCAUCAUUUAAAGAAAGCGUAAUAGCUCACUGGUCGAGUCGGCCUGCGCGGAAGAUGUAACGGGGCUAAACCAUGCACCGAAGCUGCGGCAGCGACACUAUGUGUUGUUGGGUAGGGGAGCGUUCUGUAAGCCUGCGAAGGUGGCCUGUGAGGGUUGCUGGAGGUAUCAGAAGUGCGAAUGCUGACAUAAGUAACGAUAAAGCGGGUGAAAAGCCCGCUCGCCGGAAGACCAAGGGUUCCUGUCCAACGUUAAUCGGGGCAGGGUGAGUCGACCCCUAAGGCGAGGCCGAAAGGCGUAGUCGAUGGGAAACAGGUUAAUAUUCCUGUACUUGGUGUUACUGCGAAGGGGGGACGGAGAAGGCUAUGUUAGCCGGGCGACGGUUGUCCCGGUUUAAGCAUGUAGGCUGGUUAUCCAGGCAAAUCCGGAUAAUCAAGGCUGAGGUGUGAUGACGAGGCACUACGGUGCUGAAGUAACAAAUGCCCUGCUUCCAGGAAAAGCCUCUAAGCAUCAGGUAACAUUAAAUCGUACCCCAAACCGACACAGGUGGUCAGGUAGAGAAUACCAAGGCGCUUGAGAGAACUCGGGUGAAGGAACUAGGCAAAAUGGUGCCGUAACUUCGGGAGAAGGCACGCUGGUGUGUAGGUGAAGUCCCUGCGGAUGGAGCUGAGACCAGUCGAAGAUACCAGCUGGCUGCAACUGUUUAUUAAAAACACAGCACUGUGCAAACACGAAAGUGGACGUAUACGGUGUGACGCCUGCCCGGUGCCGGAAGGUUAAUUGAUGGGGUUAUCCGUAAGGAGAAGCUCUUGAUCGAAGCCCCGGUAAACGGCGGCCGUAACUAUAACGGUCCUAAGGUAGCGAAAUUCCUUGUCGGGUAAGUUCCGACCUGCACGAAUGGCGUAAUGAUGGCCAGGCUGUCUCCACCCGAGACUCAGUGAAAUUGAACUCGCUGUGAAGAUGCAGUGUACCCGCGGCAAGACGGAAAGACCCCGUGAACCUUUACUAUAGCUUGACACUGAACAUUGAGCCUUGAUGUGUAGGAUAGGUGGGAGGCUUUGAAGCGUGGACGCCAGUCUGCGUGGAGCCAACCUUGAAAUACCACCCUUUAAUGUUUGAUGUUCUAACGUUGGCCCCUGACCGGGGUUGCGGACAGUGUCUGGUGGGUAGUUUGACUGGGGCGGUCUCCUCCCAAAGCGUAACGGAGGAGCACGAAGGUUAGCUAAUCCUGGUCGGACAUCAGGAGGUUAGUGCAAUGGCAUAAGCUAGCUUGACUGCGAGCGUGACGGCGCGAGCAGGUGCGAAAGCAGGUCAUAGUGAUCCGGUGGUUCUGAAUGGAAGGGCCAUCGCUCAACGGAUAAAAGGUACUCCGGGGAUAACAGGCUGAUACCGCCCAAGAGUUCAUAUCGACGGCGGUGUUUGGCACCUCGAUGUCGGCUCAUCACAUCCUGGGGCUGAAGUAGGUCCCAAGGGUAUGGCUGUUCGCCAUUUAAAGUGGUACGCGAGCUGGGUUUAGAACGUCGUGAGACAGUUCGGUCCCUAUCUGCCGUGGGCGCUGGAGAAUUGAGGGGGGCUGCUCCUAGUACGAGAGGACCGGAGUGGACGCAUCACUGGUGUUCGGGUUGUCAUGCCAAUGGCACUGCCCGGUAGCUAAAUGCGGAAGAGAUAAGUGCUGAAAGCAUCUAAGCACGAAACUUGCCCCGAGAUGAGUUCUCCCUGAGACUUUAAGUCUCCUGAAGGAACGUUGAAGACGACGACGUUGAUAGGCCGGGUGUGUAAGCGCAGCGAUGCGUUGAGCUAACCGGUACUAAUGAACCGUGAGGCUUAACCUU
rnacentral:rRNA from 1 species